AGGGGGGGCGUGCGUAUACAUGCAAGUCGAGCGGACCUUCGGGUCAGCGGCGGACGGGUGAGGAACACGUGAGUGAUCUAUCGAUGAGUGGGGGAUAUCGGGCCGAAAGGCGCGGCAAUCCCGCAUACGUUCCUACGGGAAGAAAGCUGGGCAACUGGCGCUCAUUGCGGAGCUCGCGGCCCAUUAGCUAGUUGGGGGGGUAACGGCCUCCCAAGGCGACGAUGGGUAGCCGGCCUGAGAGGGUGAACGGCCACACUGGGACUGAGACACGGCCCAGACUCCUACGGGAGGCAGCAGUAGGGAAUCUUCCACAAUGGGCGCAAGCCUGAUGGAGCAACGCCGCGUGAGUGAAGACGGCCUUCGGGUUGUAAAGCUCUGUCUGUCGGGACGAAGACCGGGACGGGAGUCCCGGGGAGCCGGUACCGACGAAGGAAGCCCCUGCAAACUACGUGCCAGCAGCCGCGGUAAGACGUAGGGGGCAAGCGUUGUCCGGAAUUACUGGGCGUAAAGGGCGUGUAGGCGGUGCGAUACGUAGCGGUUUUAAGCCUCCGGCUCACCCGGAGGAGGGCGGCUAAACGGUCGCACUGGAGGGCAGGAGAGGUGCGUGGAAUUCCUGGUGGAGCGGUGAAAUGCGUAGAGAUCAGGAAGAACACCAGUGGCGAAGGCGGCGCACUGGCCUGACCCUGACGCUGAGGCGCGACAGCGUGGGGAGCAAACGGGAUUAGAUACCCCGGUAGUCCACGCCGUAAACG
rnacentral:rRNA from 1 species